rnacentral:rRNA from 1 species
GUGGGGAAUAUUGGACAAUGGGCGCAAGCCUGAUCCAGCCAUGCCGCGUGUGUGAAGAAGGCCUUUUGGUUGUAAAGCACUUUAAGCGAGGAGGAGGCUCCUUUAGUUAAUACCUAAAGAGAGUGGACGUUACUCGCAGAAUAAGCACCGGCUAACUCUGUGCCAGCAGCCGCGGUAAUACAGAGGGUGCAAGCGUUAAUCGGAUUUACUGGGCGUAAAGCGCGCGUAGGUGGCCAAUUAAGUCAAAUGUGAAAUCCCCGAGCUUAACUUGGGAAUUGCAGUCGAUACUGGUUGGCUAGAGUAUGGGAGAGGAUGGUAGAAGUCCAGGUGUAGCGGUGAAAUGCGUAGAGAUCUGGAGGAAUACCGAUGGCGAAGGCAGCCAUCUGGCCUAAUACUGACACUGAGGUGCGAAAGCAUGGGGAGCAAACAGGAUUAGAAACCCUUGUAGUCC